GAAAAGGAAAAAAGAAGAAGAAACUAUGGUGUUCAAAUGGAUAGAAUUGAAGCUGAGAUAUUCAAAAAAUAAGUUUAUAUAAAAAAAAAAUAGAUACUAAAUAUGCAUUCUCCUUUUCCAAUCCGAUAUCAAAUUUCUCAGAACACCGACACACAGCCACAAUGAAAUGCAGACAGCUGCCGCUUAAUUAACCAACGAAGCUGGUGUAGAAAUAAAACCUUUGUAAUAGGAGCGGCAGUGUCCUGAUUGCAUCUAUUUUUGGGUUGUUUCAAGAUAAAAGAGCCUGCAAAAAGAGAGAGGGUUAAUUUGUACACUUCAAGUCAUGCUUGUGCCCUGAACAUGUAGAUCCUCCAUGCACAGUUUACAAGGGAGAAAUAAUGCUAUAAACAAGAACCACAUGCAUUAAAACCCACAUCAAAUGCUACUCUCUCCAAACCACUUGAAAUUCGAAAGCAAGUUCACUCUAAAUAAAAAAAUAUAUUGUAGCUCAACUGGUCAUGUUUUAGAUUUGCUCUCUAAAAGUUAUCAGUUCAAGUCUGAUAAAUCUCAGGGCCAUUGAAGACUUACAUGGUCGUUAACUUCAGGACCCGUGGGAUUAGUCGAGGUAAAUGCAAGCUGACCCAAACACCCACGUUAAUAAAAAAAACAAAAAAAAAAAAACAUCUUAUCAACAUCAUGAUGCCAGAUUUUCUUGAAUUAACACACCUGUAAUCAGCACAGAUGGAUGGCAUUCAAAAGCCCUCCUCCUCCAGAAGGGGACUAGGACCAGUCAAGCUUAUGAUGCCUUUUUAUGGCUCAUCUAACUGGUCCUGCUAGUAAAACCAUUAUCCAUAGUUAUUGAUCCAUCAGGUUUUGUAGUGAUACAGAGAAACCAUAGCCAAUUCUGGCAGAAGUAUUGUUGACUUACAAGAAUUAGAGAGAGGCACCAACCUGGACAUCUGAAGUCCAAAGUGCUGUCCUUGCACGAUUCUUCUCCCAAAGUGCAGAUCUAGCUUGGCAAUGGCUUUCUCAAAUGCCUGCACAAAAACAUAGCAAGGAAAACUGAAAGGAUCUUGUAACAUAUAUUCGUGAAUGCUAUGACUAUAUAACCUUAAGCAACUCUGGUUGGCAUAUAAAAAAAAAGUAGGACCUUGGUCAUUUCUAAAAGACAACGGAAGAGAAAUGGUAAACAGCUGAAACCAAACAUUGAGACAGGCAUUGAUGGUGAAGAAAUGCUAGGAACACUUCAGUAACUAAUUUGAGUUUCAGUUAAGCAUUGUGUCUGUGUACACGAGCAAGGACAAAUAGUGCAGCAAACCACAUCAUUAAGCCUGGGCAAUUUAAACUACUUCGAAAGGUUUACUAUAGUCUUAAACCUUUUAAGUUUAUCCAUGCAUCAAUGAACACUCUGAUAUAGUCUACUAGAUUUUGAGGAGCAUUUGCCCAUUCAGAACUUCCAGUUCAGUUUUUUAUGCACGGUAACAAAUGCUGAGAUGAGAAACAAACAUCAUGAAGACAUUCCUUACAAUAACUUAUUCUACUAUCAACUAUAUCUUGAUUUGGCUUUAAAGGACAGCCAAUCAAUAGCUAAAUCUGUUAGAUCAACAUAUAAACAACCAGUGACGGAUAAUAGGUUUG
rnacentral:lncRNA from 1 species